rnacentral:piRNA from 1 species
UUUUUUCUCUUUUUCUAAACUGUGGUAUC